rnacentral:rRNA from 1 species
UACGUAGGGUGCAAGCGUUGUCCGGAAUUAUUGGGCGUAGAGAGCUCGUAGGCGGUCUGUUGCGUCGGCUGUGAAAACCCGGGGCUCAACUCCGGGCCUGCAGCCGAUACGGGCAGACUAGAGUUCGGCAGGGGAGACUGGAAUUCCUGGUGUAGCGGUGAAAUGCGCAGAUAUCAGGAGGAACACCGGUGGCGAAGGCGGGUCUCUGGGCCGAUACUGACGCUGAGGAGCGAAAGCGUGGGGAGCGAACAGG